GCCUACGGGGGGCAGCAGUGGGGAAUAUUGCACAAUGGGGGAAACCCUGAUGCAGCGACGCCGCGUGAGUGAAGAAGUAUUUCGGUAUGUAAAGCUCUAUCCGCAGGGAAGAAAUAGCGACCUUUGGGUCGCCAGACGGUACCUGACUAAGAAGCCCCGGCUAACUACGUGCCAGCAGCCGCGGUAAUACGUAGGGGGCAAGCGUUAUCCGGAUUUACUGGGUGUAAAGGGAGCGUAGACGGCAGCACAAGUCUGAAGGGAAAUGCAGGGGCUUAACCCCGGAACUGCUUUGGAAACUGUGCAGG
rnacentral:rRNA from 1 species